UACGUAGGGUGCGAGCGUUGUCCGGAAUUAUUGGGCGUAAAGAGCUCGUAGGCGGUCUGUCGCGUCGGUCGUGAAAACUUGGGGCUUAACCCUGAGCUUGCGGUCGAUACGGGCAUGACUGGAGUUCGGCAGGGGAGACUGGAAUUCCUGGUGUAGCGGUGAAAUGCGCAGAUAUCAGGAGGAACACCGGUGGCGAAGGCGGGUCUCUGGGCCGAUACUGACGCUGAACCGCGAAAGCGUGGGGAGCGAACAGG
rnacentral:rRNA from 1 species